AAACUUUCAACAACGGAUCUCUUGGUUCUGGCAUCGAUGAAGAACGCAGCGAAAUGCGAUAAGUAGUGUGAAUUGCAGAAUUCAGUGAAUCAUCGAAUCUUUGAACGCACAUUGCGCCCCUUGGUAUCCCGAGAGGCAUGCCUGUUCGAGCGUCAUUU
rnacentral:rRNA from 1 species